CCUACGGGAGGCAGCAGUGGGGAAUCUUGCGCAAUGGGCGAAAGCCUGACGCAGCAACGCCGCGUGCGGGAUGAAGGCCUUCGGGUUGUAAACCGCUUUUAACAGGAACGAAAAUGACGGUACCUGUAGAAUAAGGUGCGGCCAACUACGUGCCAGCAGCCGCGGUGACACGUAGGCACCAAGCGUUGUCCGGAUUUAUUGGGCGUAAAGAGCUCGUAGGCGGUUCGAUAAGUCGGGUGUGAAAACUCUGGGCUUAACCCAGAGACGCCACUCGAUACUAUUGUGACUAGAGUUCGGUAGGGGAGGCGGGGAAUUCCUAGUGUAGCGGUGAAAUGCGCAGAUAUUAGGAGGAACACCGGUGGCGAAGGCGCCGCUCUGGGCCGAAACUGACGCUGAGGAGCGAAAGCGUGGGUAGCAAACAGGAUUAGAUACCCUGGUAGUCCACGCCGUAAACGGUGGGCACUAGGUGUGGGCUCCAACCAACGGAGUCCGCGCCGUCGCUAACGCAUUAAGUGCCCCGCCUGGGGAGGUACGGCCGCAGUAAACGUUAAAGUAAUAGAGCGNGAGANGCAGCGACACGAGGGAG
rnacentral:rRNA from 1 species